rnacentral:lncRNA from 13 species
GAACAGAGUAGGUGGCAUAGAUAGACUGAGGCUGGCAGGCUGGCUUUGAGUACAGCUAAGACAUUUUUUGAGAAGUCCCUGAAAUACUUCAGAAGACUUUGCAGAGGCCUGGAGAUCACGUAUGAUCAAGCUCAGACUCCCUUCAGUGCUGUCAUCAUUAACUCCUGUAAGAACUCCGCAGGAUGGAUGGGCAUCAAAGCCCCUGCUUCUGCUCAACCAGGGGCAGUGUCUGCUGAAGUCUUGAGAUGGAGAGAGUUGCAGAAGCCGAGGGUCAGAGUAGAAGCCCGGUGUCAUGGCCCUUGA